rnacentral:rRNA from 1 species
AUUGAACGCUGGCGGCAGGCCUAACAUAUGCAAGUCGAGCGGAUGAAGGGAGCUUGCUCCUGGAUUCAGCGGCGGACGGGUGAGUAAUGCCUAGGAAUCUGCCUGGUAGUGGGGGAUAACGUCCGGAAACGGGCGCUAAUACCGCAUACGUCCUGAGGGAGAAAGUGGGGGAUCUUCGGACCUCACGCUAUCAGAUGAGCCUAGGUCGGAUUAGCUAGUUGGUGGGGUAAAGGCCUACCAAGGCGACGAUCCGUAACUGGUCUGAGAGGAUGAUCAGUCACACUGGAACUGAGACACGGUCCAGACUCCUACGGGAGGCAGCAGUGGGGAAUAUUGGGCAAUGGGCGAAAGCCUGAUCCAGCCAUGCCGCGUGUGUGAAGAAGGUCUUCGGAUUGUAAAGCACUUUAAGUUGGGAGGAAGGGCAGUAAGUUAAUACCUUGCUGUUUUGACGUUACCAACAGAAUAAGCACCGGCUAACUUCGUG